ensembl:lncRNA
AUGUUAGAAGACAGCUCAGGAGAAAGCGAGAAUGAACCUGAGGGACAAGACAGAUCAGGAGAAAGAGAGGACGAACCUGAGGGACAAGACAGAUCAGGAGAAAGAGAGGACGAACCUGAGGGACAAGACAGAUCAGGAGAAAGAGAGGACGAACCUGAGGGACAAGACAGAUCAGGAGAAAGAGAGGACGAACCUGAGGGACAAGACAGAUCAGGAGGAAGAGAGAACGAACCUGAGGGAGAAGACAGCUCAGGAGAAAGAGAGGACGAACCUGAGGGAGAAGACAGCUCAGGAGGAAGCAAACAAAAUGAAGGAAUUCAGGAAGAAAGCAGCUCGGGACUUAACCAAGUUCAAGCGGGAUUCCUGGUGGAAAGUGUUUUAAAAGUUUCAGACUCUCAUCAAGCAAAAAGAUACCUGGUCACAUCAGAUGAACUACAGAGGAGGUGCUCUCCUCCAGAGAGUUACUCAGCAAACACUGUUGUGGCUUAUCUACGGAAGGCCAAGGGACAAAAAAAGAAAAUCACAGAGAAGUUGGCAGAGUUGGAGGUGAACCCCUCAAAGCGCACAAAGUUAACUUCACAGUGCUCCAAACUUUGUGAAGAUGAAUGCAAGGAUCUGGCUGGGGACAUAAUGUUCCUUGCCGCAAAAUUCAUCCCCCAGAAAAGGGUGGGUGAAGCCUUGCUUGAAGAAGGGAAUGUCCAUGCAGCUAUGGUCAAAACCGAAGACUGCAGGAAGACUUUGAAAGAUUUAAAGGCUGCUCUAGAGAACAAUGGGACACAUUUGACCUGGCAACACAUGGUCUUGGUCCUGCCGUAAUAAAUGGCACUUUUUCGUUGAUAGAUGCGUGUCUUAAGGAAAAGAUGAGAGCACUGAAAAAAAAAGACUCCACAGAUGAGUAAGGUUCCCCCACUUUUGUUUACUUGUAUUGUUUCAAACUCUUGUUUCUUGAUGUUCAGCUGUACAAAAAAAAAAAAAAAAAAUUAAUAAAACAUUACAAAGAAUUGUGUUUUUUAUUUUU